rnacentral:lncRNA from 1 species
AUAUUGUUUCGGUAAAAAUCGUGUAGAAUUUUUAUUUUAACUAUAUAAAAUAUUUUAAGUCUGCUAUUUAAUUUUUUAAAUUAUUGUUUUUAUUUUUAAAUAUUUGAUUUUAGACAGUUAAUUAUAAUUUAAUUUUAAAAUUUGAAAUGCUGUUAGCUAGCGCAAAUAAAAUAAAUUAAAAGAUUAAAUAGUAAAAUUAAAAAUGUGAAAGAUUAGAUAUACGGUAUACUCAAUAAAUUCGGUAUGUUUUGAUCUAUUAUUUGAAAAAUAAAUAAGGUCAUUUAUUUCUACAUCACUUUCAACAAUAAAGUACCAGAUCAGUUUCAUUUAACACCAUCUACUAUUCGUACUUCAAAGAAGGUAAAUUUUAUGAUCAUACGAUACUAUUUACUUACGUAUAUAGUGAUCUUAAAUUUACUUAAUGUUAACCUGAAUAUCAUUCAAAAAUUACAAAAUUUAGUUUCUAAAUUUUAAAUAAUUUAGAUCGUAUUUAUCGGUGCUGAUUAUCGAUUUAAAUAUCUUAUAAUAAAAACCGAUACAAAAGUAACUACU